rnacentral:rRNA from 1 species
AUUGAACGCUGGCGGCAUGCCUUACACAUGCAAGUCGAACGGCAGCACGGGUGCUUGCACCUGGUGGCGAGUGGCGAACGGGUGAGUAAUACAUCGGAACAUGUCCUGUAGUUGGGGAUAGCCCGGCGAAAGCCGGGUUAAUACCGCAUACGAUCUACGGAUGAAAGCGGGGGACCUUCGGGCCUCGCGCGAUAGGGUUGGCCGAUGGCUGAUUAGCUAGUUGGUGGGGUGAAGGCAUACCAAGGCGACGUGCAGUAGGUGGGCUGAGAGGACGACCAGCCACACUAGGACUUGAACACGGCCCAGACUCCUGCGAGAGGCAGCAGUGGGCAAUUGUGGACAAUGGGCGAAAGCCUGAUCCAGCAAUGCCGCGUGUGUGGAGACGGCCUUCGGGUUGUAAAGAACUUUUUUCCGGAAAGAAAUCCUUGGCCCUAAGACGGUCGGGGGAUGACGGUACCGGAAGAAUAAGCACCGGCUAACUACGUG